GUCGAGAAUAAUUCACAAUGGGGGCAACCCUGAUGGUGCAACGCCGCGUGGAGGAUGAAGGUCUUCGGAUUGUAAACUCCUGUCAUCCGGGAGCAAGACCUGGCCGUGAAUAGCGGACAGGGUUGAUAGUACCGGAAGAGGAAGGGACGGCUAACUUCGUGCCAGCAGCCGCGGUAAUACGAAGGUCCCGAGCGUUAUUCGGAAUCACUGGGCGUAAAGGGAGCGUAGGCGGCGCGGUAAGUCAGAUGUGAAAUCCUAGGGCUCAACCCUGGAACUGCAUCCGAUACUGCUGUGCUUGAGCAAUGGAGAGGUAGCCGGAAUUCUCGGUGUAGCAGUGAAAUGCGUAGAUAUCGAGAGGAACACUCGUGGCGAAAGCGGGCUACUGGACAUUUGCUGACGCUGAGGCUCGAAGGCCGGGGGAGCGAAAGGGAUUAGAAACCCGAGUAGUCC
rnacentral:rRNA from 1 species